UACGUAGGCAGCGAGCGUUGUUCGGAAUUACUGGGCGUAAAGAGUGUGUAGGCGGUGUUCCCAGUCUGUUGUGAAAUCUCCCGGCUUAACUGGGAGGGUGCAGCGGAAACUAGAAUGCUAGAGGGUGGGAGAGGUAAGCGGAAUUCCUGGUGUAGCGGUGAAAUGCGUAGAUAUCAGGAGGAACACCCGUAGCGAAGGCGGCACUCUGGGCCGAUACUGACACUGAGGAGCGAAAGCGUGGGGAGCGAACAGG
rnacentral:rRNA from 1 species